UCCUGGCUUUUCUCUUGCAGGGGAGUUCACAGCUGCUGGACUGGGAAAGACCAUGCAAUUCCAAGGUCCUGCCAUGGACACCUUCCACAGGACCAGGUUGCUCCAAUCCCCAUCCAACAUGGCCAACAAGAGAAGCAGCACUACUGUGGUGUCACCAGUUUUGGGGACAGCUCAACUGAAGCAGCCUGGAGCUGGAGCAAGAACAUUGAUGGCACUCUGGUCCUCUGUUUGGACCCAUUUUUCCCCUGAUUCUGCCCAUGCAAAAGAGAUCUGGGAGGACCUUGGGACGGUGUUUAGGUAAGAAAUGUUUAAACCCUGCUGUGUGCUGCAACCUCUCCCCUGACCCUCAGUGAGCCCCAGCCCCACCAACAAGUUGCAGUGGAAACAAAGGCAGUUCUUGCUUCAGAUUCUUCAGAGAUAGCAAUAUGUCAGGAGCCCCUGGAGAGGCUGAAAGUAAAUGAAUCAGUGCUAGAAAGUGAAGGAUAUCAUCCGUGCUGAAUGGUGAAAAGGAGUCCUGAACAGUAUCUUCAUUGAUUUUCCUGUAAUUGACACAGAGCUCGGCUCGCCGGAGGCUGCAGCAGGAGCGGGGAGGCCCAGGUACUGCUCCCGCCUCAAUUAGGCAGCUUGGGACUGGGGGCAGCUCCACAGGAGCCAGCGGCUCACAGGGUGCUCUGCAAGCUGCCUUGAGGACGAGGGGCAGCUUGGAAGGACGUGUGCCAGGCUGUCAGCAGCUCCCCACCAGUCCUGGCAUAGCCCCAGGUGCAUUGAGCCCUCACUGGUGAGAAACACCGGCCCUAAAUUCAGGAAAAUCCAGCAGUGGCAGUGGCAGGAAAUCUGGUUAGCUGAGGUCUGAGGCUCUGCAAGGAGAAAUUGCCUUGUGUGUGAAAGCUCUUGGCUGGGCAGUGGGACAGGGCUCGCUCUUUGGGCACCCACGGACACCCUGUCCUGGGGCAGAGUCCCCGGGCAGCAGGGGUGGCACUGCGGGAGGGAUGGGUCCCAUCCAGCAGAAGCACGGCUGCACCACACAAAAGGAACCAGAAGCAUCCAUCACUUCACAGCCCAGCGGAGGAGCACCUGUCAGAGCUGUUGCUCCCGGAGUGGUCUCCUGUGUCUCCCAGGACAUCGUACGUGACACUGCAUCUCCAGCUGCAGCUUUCACUGGUGCUCCCCCAGCUCCUCCAGCCUCCUCCUGCUGCUCUGCCCGCUGCUCCCGUGGUCCCUGCAGCCCUGGAAGUAUUCAGGAUGCGGUUUGGAGCGAUCUGUUCCAGUGGAAGGUGUCCCUGCCCCCGGAACGGCACUCGAUUGUCUACGAAUGCAGGCUGGCAGGCUCAGAAAUCAAUUCAGCGCCGGAGUUUCAGUCUCAGAAGAGCUGUGUGGGGAUGGCUGCCACCUUCCCGGGAUGGCUGGUGACAGAAGAUAAAUCGCCGUGGAUUUUUUGCCAACGUGCCAUAUUUCAAACUCAUAAUCAGUCCAGCAUCACCCUCGGCUUCCUUCAGCAUCUCCUUCCUACUGCAGGGCAGUGGGACAUGUUCCACGGCGACAUCCCAGCGGCCAGAGCCUCUGUGGCCUUCAGAGUGGAGCAGGCACCCGUGGUUUGACUCAGCUCCUGUGGACACUCAGAGGCAGCCAAGGAGAGCAGCAGAAGGAACCUGGUGUAGAUGGAGGGUGACCAUUUCCAGCCUCCAUGCUGCAGGAGCAAUGCAUUAUCCAAACCUCCAGUUUGGGAGAAAAAGGUAUUUAAUCUUUUUGAAUCCCUCAGGACUCAGACCUCUGAGCUGGAGCCCACCACCUCCCACAUCCCACGGGACAGGACACAGGCACAGAGGGCUGGUUUGCAUCCAUCCCUUCCCUAUAUCCCAGGUGGGCUUUGCUGCCAGCUGCCUCUCCAGAGCCAUCCUGCCAAGGUCCUGCAGGGUUUGGCUUGGAAAGGACCUUCAAGACCACCCAGUCCCAACCUCCUGCUGGGACACUGGGACAGGCAGGUGUGAAGCUGGAGCUCUCACUGUCUCCCAUCUCAGCAUCUCUGUAGUUACUCUCACUACAGAGUAACUCCCAGCGACUGCAGAGGGAAUGCAUAAGCUGUCCCUGACAGGCAGUGUGUAGUUCUGAGCCCACGAGUCCCAUUUAUCCUCCUUACCAGUUCCCCCAUCAUGUGUCUGACAGAAUUCCCUUAGGGAGCUGCUGUCCUGUGCUGUGUCCCUGCCCUGAGCUUUACGGUCCCUUCCAGCCCAAAGCACUGCAGGACCCCAGGAUUCUGUGCUCCAGGAGCAGGUGAUGGCUCUGGACAACUGAGACCUGCAGAAAAUCGACACUGAAAGGAGCAAUCACAGCAGCGUGGCUGCAGCUCUUCCCAUUUCCCCUGGCAAACCUUCCCCCGGGACUGUGUGCACCUGACCCUAAACCUUCCCCAUUUUCCAAGCCAGUGCACUUGAUGGGAACUCAUCUCUGCUCUCCCCACGGCUUCCCUGGCAUCCCCAGGGUGGGACACGGCCGCUUUCGGCUUGGCUGAACCCCCAAAUUCAUUUCACAGAUUGCAUUUGGGCUCUGCUUCCAUUUGCUCCCAGACACCUCACCUAGGGAACACUCUGUUCUCCUCAGGAAAACAGGGAUUUAUUCCCUCAGUGUUCCUGCAGAGAACAGACCUGUGCUGGACACACACCCCGGGAGGUGCCCUCUGGCACCCUGGGGCUGUCCCACUCCCCAUCUCUCCCUCCUGCCUCGCCUCCUCCCAUGAGGCCACCAGCAGCAGCACCUUUGCUGCUUGCUCCUGGAAUAAAGUGCAUUUUAACCCAUUUUCUGCCUGAACACACUGCUUUAUAAAAAAGCCAAAAUAAACCUUGCAAGGUGAGCAGAUUCCAGCAUCACUUCCAAGCUGGAAGCAUCGGUUUCCUUUCACGGUGUUGUAAACGGUGAGUAGCUCUGCAGGAGUGAGUAAAUGCCUGUUUAAGAUUAUUUACAUCAAUAAAUAAAUAUUUACCCCUUUUUAAGCAUCUCCAGCCCUUGCAAACAGGUUUCCAAUUUACAAAAAUCAAUUAAAAUCUGAUAUUAGAAUGCACCAGCCCACGGUGAUGUUCCCGGAGAUGUCACUCAGCCUCCAUUCCAAGCCCCACAUCAGCAUUCCAAAAGCUCUGCUGCUGAAAGAGCAGAAAGUUUCACCUUUUAAUUUUUCAUAGCGGAUUAAUUUUUAAUUUUCAGACAUCAGAGAGAGGGGGAAGUUCCCCAGGAGCCUCUCCCGCUUCAAAGCGUGCUCCAGGCAACCGCUGGAUCGAGUGUCAAUUUAUCACACCGGAGGCUCCGAUCCAGAUUUUUCCUGAUUUUUUCUUUUUUUUUUUUUUUUUUGUUCAGACAAAAGUAUUAAUGCUGGUGAAGUUUUCUAGAAGCUGGGAACAGGCUGGACAGAAGCAAAGCCUCUCUCACAGCCUGCUCAGCUGCCGGUGGAGGAGCAGAAGGGCCUUGGCUGCUCCGUGCAGGGAAUUUCUGCUCUGCCCUGUCCUUCCCUGGAUCCCACCAGGGCCGAGCACACCCACGCAGUUCCCGAGGGUAACUCCUGACCUGCUCCAGAGCAUCCCACGGCACAGGGGCUUCCUCUGCAGGUCAGACCCCAGCCCAGAGGCAGUGCAACACAGCCCCUUUGUUAUUCACUGCAGUUAAUUCCUCUGGGGAACUCCAGCCUGGCAGAGCCCAGAGCACAGGGAGAGCUCAGAGGGACUGGGGACAAGGCAGGGAACAAGGAUCCCUCAUAUCCCUCCAGCCCAAACCCCUCCAGGACUCCGCUCUCAUUCUUAGAGUGGCAGAUUCCUGAGGAGUGGGCAAAGCACCACCAGCAGAUCACUGACACCCACGCAAAGCAACACGUUUCAGUCCAGUUUUAUUCCACAAGCAUAUUUACACCAGGAAUGUCAAUCCACGGAGGGCAGGGACGCGUUUGUGGAGAAGCAGACACGGGAACCAUCACACGGUGACUUCAUCCCCCCUCUCAUGCAGGUGUCACUCGAAGCCACGGACACCAAGGCCACACAGCGCCAGGGACACGGAAAGGUGACAGCGGAACAGCGGGAUGGGAACAGCCCCUGGCACACACCGACCUCCCAGCAGCUCCUUGGGGUCUGAUCCUCCUGCUCUGAAUCAGCUGGAGCAGCACAGAGCUAUGGGCCUCCUGGGCUGCAAACCCCACCUGGGCACUACACAGGUAACCCAAGCGCAAUAACACACACUUAUUUUCUCUUUUGGAGCCAUGUGAAAAAUUAAUUCCUCAUUCUUGGACUCCAAGUACCAUUUCUAGCUUAGAAGGUAGUGGCAGCCUCAGGUCCGAGCUCUGCAGCCAAGGAAAAGCUGCACAAACAGAGAUAUUGAAAUAAAAGGAUUUGAGAGAUUUUUUUCUCCUUCCCAUGAGCAGAAACCAGAAAAUUUCACACAAAAUAUUCCACAGAUAUGUAAGAAGUAAACACAGUCACAGCGAGUGUCACACAGGGAUAUUCCUACUGAAGGAAAUGUUUCAGUACAUCCAGUCAAUAAUUCAUUUUUUUCCAUAAUUUUGAUAAUUUUUCCAUUCAAAAUGGCCCCCUUUGUCCUUUAUUUAAAUAAAUACCUGCACUGGUGGCAAAAACCACCUUUCUAUAUAAAUACUGCUUUUUUCCAAGUCUGCCAUUUAACAGGAUUUUUAAAUUAUUUAUUUACACGUGGACCAUCAUUUUUCUUUCCGGCCUGGGCACAGCAGCACUUCCAAUCCCCUCAGAAAGGAGCCUUCACCCCUUGGGAUCAGCACACAGGCCACAGCCCCGAAUUCCAGCCCCAUUCCCAGGCAGGUACCCGGCUCCGGGGGCAGCACCCACCAGCAUUCCCGGGUCACCAGGAGCAGUCCAUGUAAACACGAGUCUUUUUGGUAAACACUGACAUUCUGGGAGGCUCCCAAGGGAGAAGGGGUCGGGUGA